rnacentral:rRNA from 1 species
GACGGAGGAUGCAAGCGUUAUCCGGAAUUAUUGGGCGUAAAGCGUCCGCAGGUGGCUGUUCAAGUCUGCUGUCAAAGCGCAGAGCUUAACUCUGUACAGGCGGUGGAAACUGAAGAGCUAGAGUAUGGUAGGGGUAGAGGGAAUUCCCGGUGUAGCGGUGAAAUGCGUAGAUAUCGGGAAGAACACCAGCGGCGAAAGCGCUCUACUGGGCCAUAACUGACACUGAGGGACGAAAGCUAGGGGAGCGAAAGGG